rnacentral:lncRNA from 1 species
CAAACUCAUCCAGACAUUUUCAAAAACUAAAUAUUAUGUCACAGGUCUCAAGUAUCUCGUGGAACAGAUAGUGCACUGAUGUAUACCAGGCCAAAAGGUAACUGUUUUCAGGAAAGUUGACUGUGGUAUGAGGCUCCGUGGGGAACGGCCUGGAUACUACUGAGAAGUGGACUUCACAGAGAUAAAACCAGGAAAAUAUGGUUAUAAAUGUCUCCCAGUGUUUAUAGAUAUCUUUUCAGGAAUAGGUAGAAGCUUUCCCCACCAAGCAAGAGACGGCCUCAAUAGUCAUCAAGAAGAUACUAGAAGAAAUCUUCUCCCGAUUUGGAAUGCCCAAGGUAAUCUGGUCAGACAACAGUCCUACUUUCGUUGCCAAGGUAAGCCAGGGUGUGGCCAAGUAUUUAGAGGUUGAUUGAAAAUUACGUUAUAUUUACAGACCUCAAAGUUCAGGACAGGUAGAAUAAAUAAAUAAAAUUUUAAAAGAGACCCUGACCAAAUUGACCAUGGAGACUGGCGUAGACUGGGUGACACUCCUUCCCUCUUGCUCUCUUCAGAGCAAGAAAUACCCCUUCCAGAUUCAGCUUUACCCCCUUUGAGAUCUUAUAUGGGGCCUCAGCUCCCCUGACUAUAUUAGAUGAUGUUACUGAACCAACAUGUCAUAGUAAUAAUGAUUUGUAUGCCAGGCUAAAAGACCUACAGGUGAUAUAGAAAGAAAUCUGCUCACAGCUGACAGCAGCCUAUGCCCCGGGGACCCCCGAGACAUGUCAUCAGUUCCAGGUUAGAGACUACAGCUACACUGAGCCCAGACACUCGAGCCUCGCUAGAAAGGACCGUACCUAGUGCUGCUGACCACCCUGACAGCCAUCAAGUCUCAGCCCUCACCAGCAGCGUACUAGCUGUUGGGGCUGAGAGCUGGGACCUAGAGGGACACUCAGAUCUUCAAAAAGCUCCCUAGACUUAAGUGAUUGGGAGGUUGCUAUAAUGCUCAUUUGAGGAGUGUGUUUUAGAAACAAGAAUUUCAUGUUUGCCUGUUUGCCCUGGGUUCCCUCGGAAUAGGUGUAAGGAUAGGCUUGAUUUUUAUUACAAAUGAUGUAACAUUACAUAUGUUAAGUACUCCUAACACUUCUUGGGACUGUGCCUCAGGGAUCACAACCUAUAUAAGUUUAAAAGUUCUAAAAGACCUUGAUUUAUAGGUUCAGAUAGUGUCCAGAUUAGAAUCCUGAUGCUAAAGACUUAAUAAGACACAAAAGAGAGUUGAGAAUUAUUUAAGGCUAUCUAGGUGCUACAAGGGCAGCACAAGGACAUCUUCAGUUGCCCUACAAUGCAAAAAAGAGUAAAAAAGACUUUUUAGCUGACCUCCAAGAAUACCUAACCUCCCUCUCAGAGGUAGUCCUUCAAAAUAGGAAAAGAUUAGACCUGAUAUUCCUUAAAAAAGGAGUCUGUGUGCUACACUAAAAAAAAAAAUGUUGUUUCUAUACAGAUCAGACAAUAAUAAUAAGAGAUAGAGUCUUUCAGUCAUUCAAACUUUUGUGCUGAGACAACAGUAUCAGAUGGUGAAAAAAAAAAAAAAAACAGAGGUACCUAAAACAAGUUGAGUGGAAGAUUCCACUCAAGGACAAAAAGAAAAUGGGGGAAAACAGACCAGAAAAGAAAACAAAAUGCAGAAACCAGACUAAAUUAUGGGCACUGCUCCAUGGGCCACCUGGCAGGAAAAAGAAAAAGUCCCUGACCCCCCGGAAGCCCUGACCACCAUGUACUUUUUGCUAACUCACUGUUAUGAUUAUAGCCAAAAUAGGUAACAUACACGUAUGCCUCAUUUACUCCACCAAUCACAUCCCUGUAACCAUGCAUCUGCUUCUGUAAGCCUGCUUCUGCUCCCCAAAAUACUAUAAAAAGCCCACCCUGGCUCUGCUAGGCGCGCCAGUCUUUCAAAUUGACUGGGACGCCCACAGAUAUCUGUGUAUCCUGAUCAAUAAAAAUCCUCUUGCAGAUUGC